GUGAAUUUUAAUAGUGUACCGUAGACAGUAGGUGCCGUUAAGGCUUAAUUUCCUACCGAGGUGUGAAUAUAUGAACGGAAUAUUUCUGUGACUAUAUGCCUCCAUGUCUACACUUGGGCAUGGAGGUUUUUUAGUGCACUU
rfam:Bacillus manliponensis strain JCM 15802 contig23, whole genome shotgun sequence.